rnacentral:rRNA from 1 species
GUUGACCUCGGAUCAGGUAGGGAUACCCGCUGAACUUAAGCAUAUCAUG